UACGGAGGGUGCAAGCGUUAUCCGGAUUCACUGGGUUUAAAGGGUGCGUAGGAGGGCAGGUAAGUCAGUGGUGAAAUCUUCAAGCUUAACUUGGAAACUGCCAUUGAUACUAUUUAUCUUGAAUACUUUGGAGGUAAGCGGAAUAUGUCAUGUAGCGGUGAAAUGCUUAGAUAUGACAUAGAACACCAAUUGCGAAGGCAGCUUACUACACAGUUAUUGACACUGAGGCACGAAAGCGUGGGGAUCAAACAGG
rnacentral:rRNA from 1 species